UACAUGCAAGUCGAGCGAACGGACGAGAAGCUUGCUUCUCUGAUGUUAGCGGCGGACGGGUGAGUAACACGUGGAUAACCUACCUAUAAGACUGGGAUAACUUCGGGAAACCGGAGCUAAUACCGGAUAAUAUUUUGAACCGCAUGGUUCAAAAGUGAAAGACGGUCUUGCUGUCACUUAUAGAUGGAUCCGCGCUGCAUUAGCUAGUUGGUAAGGUAACGGCUUACCAAGGCAACGAUGCAUAGCCGACCUGAGAGGGUGAUCGGCCACACUGGAACUGAGACACGGUCCAGACUCCUACGGGAGGCAGCAGUAGGGAAUCUUCCGCAAUGGGCGAAAGCCUGACGGAGCAACGCCGCGUGAGUGAUGAAGGUCUUCGGAUCGUAAAACUCUGUUAUUAGGGAAGAACAUAUGUGUAAGUAACUGUGCACAUCUUGACGGUACCUAAUCAGAAAGCCACGGCUAACUACGUGCCAGCAGCCGCGGUAAUACGUAGGUGGCAAGCGUUAUCCGGAAUUAUUGGGCGUAAAGCGCGCGUAGGCGGUUUUUUAAGUCUGAUGUGAAAGCCCACGGCUCAACCGUGGAGGGUCAUUGGAAACUGGAAAACUUGAGUGCAGAAGAGGAAAGUGGAAUUCCAUGUGUAGCGGUGAAAUGCGCAGAGAUAUGGAGGAACACCAGUGGCGAAGGCGACUUUCUGGU
rnacentral:rRNA from 1 species